rnacentral:sRNA from 1 species
CUGAUUAUUAGCACCAUUCAACGAAUGGUGGGUUAGCGCGCGUCUGGUGGUAGCGACCGAAACCCGCCCCAAGAGGCGGGUUUU